GAGGUCACCAGUACCCUGUUUGGAGAGUAAGGGAAGGGACUUCUCCAUUAGUGCCUUGCUUGACUUAGCCUGGUUUAUGACCCAGUCUGACUCCCCAUGCCCUGCCCUACCCCUCCGCCACACACACACACACACACACACACACACACACACACUGCUCUAGUAGAUAUUUCUAUAACUAUGGACCAACUUGGAAACAGCCACCAAAUUGCACUUUAAAAAAUAAUCUUCUGCAAACUACCAAAAAAUAAUGAAUUCUUUUUUUGUUCACAAAUCUCUCCCACUUAUUCUAAUGUUCUCAAAAUAUUCUACACAGACGCUUCAGCCUAGUUUUUUCUAGCAGCAACAUUCCAACCAUAGAGGUGAGUUUACAAUGUUGUCCCGGGAGAGGAGAGCCUGGCUCACAUGCAUGGGGACAGGGUACACUCUGACAAAUGAAAAUAAGUCUUGAAUAAGCAUCACGUUCCCUGGUCUCAGUUCCCUGUUUCCCCAUGGGGUACGGUGAGGUGGGGGAGCUGGCCGAUUCAAACAAGCCUGAGAUCACUCACAUCACAGGCAACCCUUCCUGUAGGUGUGAAAUCCAGCCUGGAAUGCCAUAACCUUUGCUGACAAGUGAUUCAUUGAGACAAAGGCUGGAGCUCCAGCAUCAAACAGAUGUCAGACGAAAGACCAAACGCCUAUAAAUAAUUGCUUUGCAAGCAAUGGAAUGGCUGGAAGACCGGGCCUAAUGAUGCACUCCAUGUCUGGACAAGCGUACUGAAGAGUGAAAUUCAAUGGGACAAUGGAGGCUGCCUGCGAGCAAAGGAGAUGCCACAGGAUGCGUGUAUUUGCCUGCCUGUUCAUAUGUAGCGUUCCCAAUGUCCAUUAGCACAGAAGCCCAGUGGAUCCAGGAUGUAAGUGAUCUCAAACAAAGUAAAAGGGAGAAUUUACACACAGAAGCAGAAGAAAAGGUGAUGUGAAGACGAAGGCAGAGACUGGAGUGAUGCAGCACCAAAAACUGGGGCGGCAUGGAACGAUUCUCCCCAGAGCCUCCAAAGGCCAUAUGGCCCUGUCCGCACCUUGAUUUUGACCCAGUGAAUCUGAUGUUGAACUUCUGGCCUCUGGAGCUGUGAGACUUGUCGGACCCCGUGUCAUGUCAACCUGCUGCUGGCUGGCUACGACGACUAUGACGCUCCAGCACUCUACUACAUGGACUACCUGGCAGCCUUGGCCAAGGCCCCUUUUGCAGCCCACGGCUGUGGUGCCUUUCUGACUCUCAGUAUCCUGGACCGAUACUACACACCCACUAUCUCACGUGAGAGGGCAAUGGGGCUUCUUAGGAAAUGUCUAGAGGAUUUUUUUAAGCAUUACUUUUGUCCUUCUCCUAAAACCACAAAUCCCUCAGAGCACAAGGUCAUCUCUUUAAUUUAUUGGCUUUUCUAUAAUACGUUGUAGUUGAUGCUCAGAAAACACAUUUUUGGGUUAGAUUUCUUGAGGUAUAAUUUACAUAUUUUAAUAUUUACUCUUCUAAGUGUACAGUUCAAUGAGUUUUGCAAAAUGCAUAUAGCUGUGUAACUGCCACCACAAUCAAGAUCUAAAACAUGGUCUUUACCUCAAAAGGUUCCCUUCUGCUCCUUUAUAGUUCUCCCUAUCCCUAGCUCCUGGCAGCUACUGAUCUAAUUUCUGUCCCUCUAGAUUUGCCUUUUCCAGAAUGUCAUCUAAACGGAAUCAAACAGUAUGUAGCAUUUUGUGUCUAGCUUCUUUCACUUAGCAUAAUGCUUGUAAGAUUCAUUCAUAUUGUUGUACGCUUCAAUAAUUUGUUUCCACUGUGUGGCUGUGUACAGUUUGUUUAUCCAUU